AACGUAGGAGCCUAGCGUUAUCCGAAUUCACUGGGCGUAAAGCGCGUGCAGGCGGCUUGGUAAGUUGGAUGUGAAAGCUCCCGGCUCAACUGGGAGAGGACGUUCAAUACUGCCAGGCUAGAGGGCGGAAGAGGGAGGUGGAAUUCCCGGUGUAGUGGUGAAAUGCGUAGAUAUCGGGAGGAACACCAGUGGCGAAGGCGGCCUCCUGGGCCGCUCCUGACGCUCAGACGCGAAAGCUAGGGGAGCGAACGGGAUUAGAAACCCGCGUAGUCC
rnacentral:rRNA from 1 species